rnacentral:misc_RNA from 1 species
GAUGAAGAACGUAGCGAAAUGCGAUAAGUAGUGUGAAUUGCAGAAUUCAGUGAAUCAUCGAAUCUUUGAACGCACAUUGCGCCGUUUGGUAUUCCAAAGGGCAUGCCUGUUCGAGCGUCAUUUGUACCCUCAAGCUUUGCUUGGUGUUGGGCGUCUUGUCUCUAGCUUUGCUGGAGACUCGCCUUAAAGUAAUUGGCAGCCGGCCUACUGGUUUCGGAGCGCAGCACAAGUCGCACUCUCUAUCAGCAAAGGUCUAGCAUCCAUUAAGCCUUUUUUUCAACUUUUGACCUCGGAUCAGGUAGGGAUACCCGCUGAACUUAAGCAUAUCAAUAAGCGGAGGA